CUGCCACAAUAUGAUCAAACUUCAUAGGUAAAGUAUUAAGUACCUUUUCAACGAAUGUCUCACCGCUGAGGGUAUGACCAUUGAGCUCCAUCUCAUUCUUGAUCUCCGUCAACCUCGAAUAGUAUCCCUCAACUGUCUCUGACUUCUCCAUCGUGGCAAGCUAGAACUUCCUUUUUAGCGCCAUCAAAUUAUUCUUUUGGACCUUAUCAACUCCACGAUAUGCUUU
rnacentral:lncRNA from 1 species